rnacentral:misc_RNA from 1 species
GAUGAAGAACGUAGCGAAUUGCGAUAAGUAAUGUGAAUUGCAGAUUUUCAGUGAAUCAUCGAAUCUUUGAACGCACAUUGCGCCCGCCAGUAUUCUGGCGGGCAUGCCUGUCCGAGCGUCAUUUCAACCCUCGAACCCCUCCGGGGGGUCGGCGUUGGGGAUCGGCCCUUUACGGGGCCGGCCCCGAAAUACAGUGGCGGUCUCGCCGCAGCCUCUCCUGCGCAGUAGUUUGCACACUCGCAUCGGGAGCGCGGCGCGUCCACAGCCGUUAAACACCCCAAACUUCUGAAAUGUUGACCUCGGAUCAGGUAGGAAUACCCGCUGAACUUAAGCAUAUCAAUAAGCGGAGGA